rnacentral:lncRNA from 13 species
AUGAGGCUCACCUGGGCCCCACCCUCUGCCAGGAGCUCCAGUUCAGUCGUGCUCAGGCUCCCAUGUCUCACUGGCUGUGUCUCUCCUUGGAGCCUUUCCCGCUUCUGGAUCUGGGGUUUUUUUGCUGUGCUCUCAAAGACUAUGGCUGGCUGGCCUGCAGACUGGGAGCUGCCUCUGCAUUGUCCUCCCUGGGCAACCCUGGAUCCCUGCAGACUGCAGAGCUGCUGGAAGGCUCGAUGGGAUGGGAUGGUACUUGAAUCAUGCUGUCUCUCUUGCAGCUACAAAAUACUGUUACCACAGACUCAGAAGAGAUGCAGAGGAGAUCAGCCCAGGUCAAGAACUGAAACAUGA